AGAGUUUGAUUAUGGCUCAGGAUGAACGCUAGCUACAGGCUUAACACAUGCAAGUCGAGGGGCAGCAUGGUCUUAGCUUGCUAAGGCCGAUGGCGACCGGCGCACGGGUGAGUAACACGUAUCCAACCUGCCGUCUACUCUUGGACAGCCUUCUGAAAGGAAGAUUAAUACAAGAUGGCAUCAUGAGUCCGCAUGUUCACAUGAUUAAAGGUAUUCCGGUAGACGAUGGGGAUGCGUUCCAUUAGAUAGUAGGCGGGGUAACGGCCCACCUAGUCUUCGAUGGAUAGGGGUUCUGAGAGGAAGGUCCCCCACAUUGGAACUGAGACACGGUCCAAACUCCUACGGGAGGCAGCAGUGAGGAAUAUUGGUCAAUGGGCGAGAGCCUGAACCAGCCAAGUAGCGUGAAGGAUGACUGCCCUAUGGGUUGUAAACUUCUUUUACAAAGGAAUAAAGUCGGGUAUGCAUACCCGUUUGCAUGUACUUUAUGAAUAAGGAUCGGCUAACUCCGUGCCAGCAGCCGCGGUAAUACGGAGGAUCCGAGCGUUAUCCGGAUUUAUUGGGUUUAAAGGGAGCGUAAAUGGAUGUUUAAGUC
rnacentral:rRNA from 1 species